rnacentral:lncRNA from 1 species
CCUUUUAGAAGCAGAUGUCAGAAGCUACAGGCUAUGUUGAGACAUCAACCAGCUGCUUAAACUGCUGAUUCUAAAACUACAGCUGGUAAACAAACUUUAUCCAUGAUGUCGUCGGCAACAAAACAACCAAAAGGAGGGGCUGACCACACAAGAGAACAACAUGAAGACACGAUGAGGGAAGACGAGUUAAGUGAUGAACCUGUCCAGAAUUUAAACGAGCUAAACACUCAAGGAUCU